rnacentral:rRNA from 1 species
UACGGAGGGUGCGAGCGUUGUCCGGAAUCAUUGGGCGUAAAGAGCUCGUAGGCGGUUUGUCGCGUCUGCUGUGAAAAACUCGGGGGCUUAACCCCCGGGCCUGCAGUGGGUACGGGGCAGACUAGAGUGCGGUAGGGGGAGACUGGAAUUCCUGGUGUAGCGGUGAAAUGCGCAGAUAUCAGGAGGAACACCGGUGGCGAAGGCGGGUCUCUGGGCCGUAACUGACGCUGAGGAGCGAAAGCGUGGGGAGCGAACAGG